GUACGGGGGGAGCAAGCGUUGUUCGGAUUUACUGGGCGUAAAGGGCGCGUAGGCGGCCAGCACAAGUCAGUUGUGAAAUCUCCGGGCUUAACUCGGAAAGGUCAACUGAUACUGUGCGGCUAGAGUGCAGAAGGGGCAACUGGAAUUCUCGGUGUAGCGGUGAAAUGCGUAGAUAUCGAGAGGAACACCUGCGGCGAAGGCGGGUUGCUGGGCUGACACUGACGCUGAUGCGCGAAAGCCAGGGGAGCGAACGGG
rnacentral:rRNA from 1 species